rnacentral:rRNA from 1 species
UAAUGUCUGGGAAACUGCCUGAUGAGGGGGAGUAACUACUGGAAACGGUAGCUAAUACCGCAUAAUGUCGCAAGACCAAAUGGGGGACCUUCGGGCCUCAUGCCAUCAGAUGUGCCCAGAUGGGAUUAGCUAGUAGGUGGGGUAACGGCUCACCUAGGCGACGAUCCCUAGCUGGUCUGAGAGGAUGACCAGCCACACUGGAACUGAGACGCGGUCCAG